rnacentral:rRNA from 1 species
AUUGAACGCUGGCGGCAGGCCUAACACAUGCAAGUCGAACGAGUGGCGGACGGGUGAGUAAUGUCUGGGAAACUGCCUGAUGGAGGGGGCUAAAUACUGGAAACGGUAGCUAAUACCGCAUACCAUCGGAUGUGCCCAGGUGGGAUUAGCUAGUUGGUGGGGUAAAGGCUCACCUAGGCGACGAUCCCUAGCUGGGCUGAGAGGAUGACCGGCCACACUGGAACUGAGACACGGUCCAGACUCCUACGGGAGGCAGCAGUUGGGAAUAUUGCGCAAUGGGCGCAAGCCUGAUGCAGCCAUGCCGCGUGUAUGAAGAAGGCCUUCGGGUUGUAAAGUACUUUCAGCGGGGAGGCGUUACCCGCAGAAGAAGCACCGGCUAACUCCGUGCCAGCAGCCGCGGUAAUAC